GAUGAACGCUGGCUACAGGCUUAACACAUGCAAGUCGAGGGGAAACGCCGGGGAAGCUUGCUUCCCCGGGCGUCGACCGGCGCACGGGUGAGUAACGCGUAUCCAACCUGCCUCUGACUGAGGGAUAACCCGUCGAAAGUCGGCCUAAUACCUCAUGGCAUCGUCUGCGGGCAUCCAACGACGAUUAAAGAUUUCAUCGGUCAGAGAUGGGGAUGCGUCUGAUUAGCUUGUUGGCGGGGUAACGGCCCACCAAGGCGACGAUCAGUAGGGGUUCUGAGAGGAAGGUCCCCCACAUUGGAACUGAGACACGGUCCAAACUCCUACGGGAGGCAGCAGUGAGGAAUAUUGGUCAAUGGGCGAGAGCCUGAACCAGCCAAGUAGCGUGCAGGAUGACGGCCCUAUGGGUUGUAAACUGCUUUUAUGCGGGGAUAAAGUGAGGGACGUGUCCUUCAUUGCAGGUACCGCAUGAAUAAGGACCGGCUAAUUCCGUG
rnacentral:rRNA from 1 species